GAUGAACGCUGGCGGCGUGCCUAAUACAUGCAAGUCGAGCGAAUGGAUUAAGAGCUUGCUCUUAUGAAGUUAGCGGCGGACGGGUGAGUAACACGUGGGUAGCCUGCCCAUAAGACUGGGAUAACUCCGGGAAACCGGGGCUAAUACCGGAUAACAUUUUGAACCGCAUGGUUCGAAAUUGAAAGGCGGCUUCGGCUGUCACUUAUGGAUGGAACCGCGUCGCAUUAGCUAGUUGGUGAGGUAACGGCUCACCAAGGCAACGAUGCGUAGCCGACCUGAGAGGGUGAUCGGCCACACUGGGACUGAGACACGGCCCAGACUCCUACGGGAGGCAGCAGUAGGGAAUCUUCCGCAAUGGACGAAAGUCUGACGGAGCAACGCCGCGUGAGUGAUGAAGGCUUUCGGGUCGUAAAACUCUGUUGUUAGGGAAGAACAAGUGCUAGUUGAAUAAGCUGACACCUUGACGGUACCUAACCAGAAAGCCACGGCUAACUACGUGCCAGCCGCCGCGGUAA
rnacentral:rRNA from 1 species